rnacentral:rRNA from 1 species
AACGAACGCUGGCGGCAGGCUUAACACAUGCAAGUCGAACGGGUGCAGCAAUGCAUCAGUGGCAGACGGGUGAGUAACACGUGGGAACCUUCCUAGGGGUACGGAACAACUCAGGGAAACUUGAGCUAAUACCGUAUACGUCCGUAAGGAGAAAGAUUCAUCGCCCCCUAGACGGGCCCGCGUCGGAUUAGGUAGUUGGUGGGGUAACGGCCUACCAAGCCUACGAUCCGUAGCUGAUCUGAGAGGAUGAUCAGCCACACUGGGACUGAGACACGGCCCAGACUCCUACGGGAGGCAGCAGUGGGGAAUCUUGGACAAUGGGCGCAAGCCUGAUCCAGCCAUGCCGCGUGAGUGAAGAAGGCCUUAGGGUUGUAAAGCUCUUUUACCAGGGACGAUAAUGACGGUACCUGGAGAAUAAGCCCCCGGCAAAACUUCGUGCCAGCAGCCGCCGCGGUAAC